GCAAAUUAGGUUUCCAAAUAGGACUGACUUGGUGGGGGUCACAGUAAGGAGGCCAGCUACAGGGUUGAGGGGACUUACCUGCCUAGCUCCCCUACUGGAGCAAGCAGAAAUAACUUUGAGGAGGCUGUAGUAGGAAAAGCCUGAAUCUGGGAAAGAAGCAGCAGAGAAAAGACUUUUUAAAGUGGCCGUUGUGAAGGAACGUGGAAGCUGAGGAAUAGCAAGAAUGAAGAGAGCUCCCCAUCCACCGGGAAACCCAGAGAAUUUCAGAGAUCUGAAACUGAGUAAUCUCUCACACAAGGGCAAUUGGGGCUGAGCCUGGGCCUGACCCUGAAUCCCAAGGGCAGGCUUUGGGAAUCUGAGGGGCAGCAGCUAACUGCCGGUGAGGAGGUGCUGUGUUCAUCCCUCAGUCAGGGGCAGAAGCUUUAUGUAACGAAGGGUUCUCUGAGCCAGCUCUGCAGCUGGUUAGGGCUCAGGCUUAAGGAUCUACAGGUAGAGGGUUGCCUUUUUUUCCUUCCAAAGGUAUGUGAUUGGGUAAAAGAGACAAUGCUACAUUUUCCUCAAAGAAAUAUCUGGCCUACAGAUCAAGAUGGACCUUCCAUCCUGGAAUGGAACUGCUACAGGGAACGACUGGGCAUGCCUCACCUCCUGGAGCCAUGCUGGUGGCCUGCAUGUAUCAUGGGAAUUUCUCAGAAUGGCCUAGCCUUGGCAACGGGUUGAGACAGGGGAGUUUGAAGCUUGUUUUAGGAUUCUCCCUUCACCAAAAACCUUUCUAGCCACCCACCCUGUGCUCCAUUCUUCUGGGACUUCUCUAUCAGUAUUUUGCCUUCCCAACUAAGGGGUGGUUGAGAGUCAAUGAAAAAAUAUUUAUUGAGCCUACUAUUUGUCCAGCAAGUAUAAAUAGUCCAUUCAUGUUACUCCUUAUGCCUCGGCUGCCAGAAAAACAAAGGUCAAAUUUAUUGCUAAAAUAGAAGCAGAACAUUCUCCAUGUCUGAAACCAUCAUUCCUUCUGGUUCUUUCAGAUGGAUUCCAUUUAAACUGAUCCCAGACUGUAUCCUUCUUUAGAGGCACCUUGAAUGAUAUCAAAACAAGGCUGGAGCACAGUGCUUUGCAUCCUUAUCAAUGCACAAAGAAGGACAAAACCCAGAGACUCCAUCUGUGGCUGGGAUGCCUAGACCUUCCCAACAGUUGCUGCAAUGGCUUGACUUGAUUUCGAAAAUGCUGGACACUCACGAGGGCUAAAUCUUGCUCCUACUCAUGCUUGGUUCUUUUCCUUACUUUGUUCUUUCUCCAUGUCAUUUAUGUAUCCAUGUCGGUUUGGUGCUGGGGUGAAAUAUUGAAUGAUGGAGACGCCAGCCUUCUAACUCCGGAGCAGAUCCAGAAGUGGUAAAGAAAAGCUGUUCUGACAGGAUUCUAUCUCCUCUCCGGACAGUGGCCCCGGCUCUGUCCAUUACCAGGAAGAGGACAUUGGCUACAGCUCAUCCCUUUACAGAAGGAGGCUGGAGGCAUAAAGAAGAUAAGCGUCUGUCCAAGGUCACCGAGCAAGUUAGGGGCACACGGGAAGAGGAUUAGACCCCCUGAUUUGUAAUCUUGUUCUCCUUCCACUGCACUUCACUUUUUGAAACCGAUUGUCAAUGCGCUAUAGCAGGCUUAAGUCCAAAUUAACGGAAUCUUCAAUGGAUAGAAUUCUUCAGGAUCCCCUUGAAGCGUGACAGCUGCAAUGACUUCCAGAUGUUCGCCUCCUCUCUUCUAGCAGACUAGGGUGGAUGUGGUAAACUCCGCGAUGGAAACCAAAAACCCA
ensembl:lncRNA